rnacentral:misc_RNA from 1 species
GUAUUAUGUUAAAGCUCCAUAGAGCCCACAAUAGACAUGCAUUUAAAACUGGUAUUAGUGUAUAGUAGUAUGGAAGAGCUAAGACUCAGUUCUCAAAAGUCCAAAAUGAAUUGGCCUUUUGAAAACGACUCACAAUUUCUAAUAGAAACCGGGAGGCCUAGCUCAACCAAAGGUGCACAGGUGUAUGUGGAUAGAAAUGAGGGCGGGCACAUGCCAAUAAGGCCAGCUCAAACCCUCUAUUCAUACUUUAAUGAUCCUUCCGCAGGUUCACCUACGGAAA